UGUCCUCAGUCCCGGGUCGUCUCGGCGCGGUUCCGAGCGGUCGCUCCCUCGCGAGGUGCCGCGGGUCAGCGGCUGACGCCAGCCACCUUCCCGACCCGUCUUGAAACACGGACCAAGGAGUCUAACAUGUGCGCGAGCCGCGGGGCAGUACGAAACCCGUAAGGCGAAAUGAAGGUGAACGCCGGCGCGGUCCGGCGGAGGUUGGAUCCCGUCCCGUCGGGGCGGGCGCACUACCGGCCGAUCUUCUCCGCCCUGUCGGCGAGGUCGAGCGAGAGCGUGCAAGUCGGGACCCGAAAGAUGGUGAACUAUGCCUGAGGAGGUUGAAGCCAGAGGAAACUCUGGUGGAGGACCGUAGCGAUUCUGACGUGCAAAUCGAUCGUCAAAUUUGGGUAUAGGGGCGAAAGACUAAUCGAACCGUCUAGUAGCUGGUUCCCUUCGAAGUUUCCCUCAGGAUAGCUGGCGCUCUGUCGCAGUUUUAUCUGGUAAAGCGAAUGAUUAGAGGUCUUGGGGGCGAAACGCCCUCAACCUAUUCUCAAACUUUAAAUUGGUAAGCAGCCCCACUCGCGCGAUAUCAGAUCUCCG
rfam:Ciona savignyi cont_40483, whole genome shotgun sequence.